GAUGGACCCGCGGUGCAUUAGCUAGUUGGUGAGGUAACGGCUCACCAAGGCAACGAUGCAUAGCCGACCUGAGAGGGUGAUCGGCCACAUUGGGACUGAGACACGGCCCAAACUCCUACGGGAGGCAGCAGUAGGGAAUCUUCGGCAAUGGACGAAAGUCUGACCGAGCAACGCCGCGUGAGUGAAGAAGGUUUUCGGAUCGUAAAACUCUGUUGUUAGAGAAGAACAAGGAUGAGAGUAAAACGUUCAUCCCUUGACGGUAUCUAACCAGAAAGCCACGGCUAACUACGUGCCAGCAGCCGCGGUAAUACGUAGGUGGCAAGCGUUGUCCGGAUUUAUUGGGCGUAAAGCGAGCGCAGGUGGUUUCUUAAGUCUGAUGUGAAAGCCCCCGGCUCAACCGGGGAGGGUCAUUGGAAACUGGGAAACUUGAGUGCAGAAGAGGAGAGUGGAAUUCCAUGUGUAGCGGUGAAAUGCGUAGAUAUAUGGAGGAACACCAGUGGCGAAGGCGGCUCUCUGGUCUGUAACUGACGCUGAGGCUCGAAAGCGUGGGGAGCAAACAGGAUUAGAUACCCUGGUAGUCCACGCC
rnacentral:rRNA from 1 species